rnacentral:snRNA from 1 species
GGGUGUGAAGGUGUUCUGUCUGCAUCAUCUGUCACUACACUGAUUUCCAGGGUUGAUCCUGGUCAUCUAGCCUGCUACACAGAUGACCCCUUCCUUAUGUCACCCAACAGGUGUCUCUCUAGAAGCCACACUCUCUGCCAAGACAACCUUUCUUUGAACUUAAGAGAACCUGUCUUUGGUCACUCAUAGACCAGUAUCUGGAUUCUCUGCUAGAGCCUCCAAAAAAGCUCUUGAGUUCAUUUGCUCUUACUGUAUGUGAAAUGCUUAUUUCUGAUUAUACCAACAGUGGAGAUGUGCAGUCUGCUGGCCUAU